rnacentral:rRNA from 1 species
GACGAACGCUGGCGGCGUGCCUAAUGCAUGCAAGUCGAGCGGGCUACAGUCUUCGGAUUGUAGCUUAGCGGCGAACGGGUGAGUAACACGUAGGUAAUCUACCCUUCAGAGGAGGACAACCUCAGGAAACUGAGGCUAAACCUUCAUACGUUCACUGGUAGGGAUACUGGUGAAGAAAGAGUUACCGUUGAGGUGGCUGCUGAAGGAUGAGCCUGCGGCCCAUCAGGUAGUUGGUGAGGUAACGGCUCACCAAGCCGAAGACGGGUAACCGGUCUGAGAGGAUGUCCGGUCACACUGGGACUGAGACACGGCCCAGACUCCUACGGGAGGCAGCAGCAGGGAAUCUUGGGCAAUGGGCGAAAGCCUGACCCAGCGACGCCGCGUGGAGGAAGAAGUCCUUCGGGGCGUAAACUCCUGGACUGGGGGACGAGGAAGGACGGUACCCCAGUAGAAAGGGACGGCUAACUACGUGCCAGCAGCCGCGGUAAAACGUAGGUCCCGAGCGUUGUUCGGAUUCACUGGGUGUAAAGGGCGCGUAGGUGGUUGUCUGUGUCUCAUGUGAAAACUCAGGGCUCAACUCUGAGAUUGCGUGGGAAACUAGGCAGCUAGAGGACGGUAGAGGGGAGUGGAAUUCCCGGUGUAGCGGUAAAAUGCGUAGAUAUCGGGAGGAACACCGGUGGCGAAGGCGGCUCUCUGGGCCGAUCCUGACGCUGAGGCGCGAAAGCUAGGGGAGCGAACCGGAUUAGAUACCCGGGUAGUCCUAGCCGUAAACGAUGGGUGCUAGGUGUUGGGGGGUAAAGACCCUUCAGUGCCGAAGCCAACGCGAUAAGCAUCCCACCUGGGGAGUACGGCCGCAAGGUUG